UACGUAGGGUGCGAGCGUUAAUCGGAAUUACUGGGCGUAAAGCGUGCGCAGGCGGUUGUGCAAGACCGAUGUGAAAUCCCCGGGACUUAACCUGGGAACUGCAUUGGUGACUGCACGGCUAGAGUGUGUCAGAGGGGGGGUAGAAUUCCACGUGUAGCAGUGAAAUGCGUAGAGAUGUGGAGGAAUACCGAUGGCGAAGGCAGCCCCCUGGGAUAACACUGACGCUCAUGCACGAAAGCGUGGGGAGCAAACAGG
rnacentral:rRNA from 1 species